rnacentral:rRNA from 1 species
GAUGAACGCUAGCGACAGGCUUAACACAUGCAAGUCGAGGGGCAGCGAGGGAGUGGCAACACUUCUGUCGGCGACCGGCGCACGGGUGAGUAACGCGUAUGCAACCUGCCCUUCACAGGGGGAUAACCGGGAGAAAUUCCGACUAAUACCGCAUACGUCCUUUGGGGGCAUCCCCUGGGGAUGAAAGAGUUAUCGGUGAAGGAUGGGCAUGCGUGAUAUUAGGUAGUUGGCGGGGCAACGGCCCACCAAGCCCACGAUAUCUAGGGGUUCUGAGAGGAAGGUCCCCCACAUUGGUACUGAGACACGGACCAAACUCCUACGGGAGGCAGCAGUGAGGAAUAUUGGUCAAUGGGCGAGAGCCUGAACCAGCCAAGUAGCGUGCAGGAUGACGGCCCUAUGGGUUGUAAACUGCUUUUAUAAGGGAAUAAAGUGAGUCUCGUGAGGCUUUUUGCAUGUACCUUAUGAAUAAGGACCGGCUAAUUCCGUG